rnacentral:rRNA from 1 species
AUUGAACGCUGGCGGCAGGCCUAACACAUGCAAGUCGAGCGAGCGGCGGACGGGUGAGUAAUGUCUGGGAAACUGCCUGAUGGAGGGGGAUAACUACUGGAAACGGUAGCUAAUACCGCAUACCAUCAGAUGUGCCCCGAUGGGAUUGGCUAGUAGGUGGGGUAACGGCUCAACUAGGCGACGAUCCCUAGCUGGUCUGAGCGGAUGACCAGCAACACUGGAACUGAGACACGGUCCAGACUCCUACGGGAGGAAGCAGUGGGGAAUAUUGCAAAAUGGGGGCAAGCCUGAUGCAGACAUGCCGGGUGUGGGAAGAAGGCCUGCGGGUUGUAAGGCACGUUCAGCGGGGAGGCGUUACCCGCAGAAGAAGCACCGGCUAACUCCGUGCCAGCAGCCGCGGUAAUUC